rnacentral:rRNA from 1 species
ACUGCUCAGUAACACGUGGAUAACCUGCCCUUGGGACCGGCAUAACCCCGGGAAACUGGGGAUAAUUCCGGAUAACGCACAUAUGCUGGAAUGCUUUAUGCGUAAAAUGGAUUCGUCCGCCCAAGGAUGGGUCUGCGGCCUAUCAGGUAGUAGUGGGUGUAAUGUACCUACUAGCCUGCAACGGGUACGGGUUGUGAGAGCAAGAGCCCGGAGAUGGAUUCUGAGACAUGAAUCCAGGCCCUACGGGGCGCAGCAGGCGCGAAAACUUUACAAUGCGGGAAACCGUGAUAAGGGGACACCGAGUGCCAGCAUCAUAUGCUGGCUGUCCAGGUGUUAAAAUACACCUGUUAGCAAGGGCCGGGCAAGACCGGUGCCAGCCGCCGCGGUAACACCGGCGGCCCGAGUGGUGAUCGUGAUUAUUGGGUCUAAAGGGUCCGUAGCCGGUUUGGUCAGUCCUCCGGGAAAUCUGAUAGCUUAACUAUUAGGCUUUCGGAGGAUACUGCCAGACUUGGAACCGGGAGAGGUAAGAGGUACUACAGGGGUAGGAGUGAAAUCUUGUAAUCCCUGUGGGACCACCUGUGGCGAAGGCGUCUUACCAGAACGGGUUCGACGGUGAGGGACGAAAGCUGGGGGCACGAACCGGAUUAGAUACCCGGGUAGUCCCAGCCGUAAACGAUGCUCGCUAGGUGUCAGGCAUGGCGCGACCGUGUCUGGUGCCGCAGGGAAGCCGUGAAGCGAGCCACCUGGGAAGUACGGCCGCAAGGCUGGAACUUAAAGGAAUUGGCGGGGGAGCAC